rnacentral:lncRNA from 1 species
CACAACUUUCAGGGUGAGCAACCAGAAAUAUCAUAACACACAACAAAACAUAUUCAUUUUAAUCACAAAAAUAAUAUAAUCAAAUAAACAUAUUUCAUCACAACAUUAUCAUCACAUUUAAGCCAUUCAUGAAUCAAUAUCGUUUUCUUAUACUGUUUCGUCAUGACCUGUUAUCACUAACAGGUACCUGUUCCUAAACAGGGCAAUUCGAGUCGUCUUCAAUCGCAACUUCCGACCUAUCUCCCCGACCUUUCGAAAAGCCUUUUGGGCGAGACAUCCACCUCCCCGCUGAUAAUGACAUAUUUUACCAUGAUUUCAGUGAUGAAUCAAGAGAAAUUGUCAACCCUUUCCUAACCUUUUACCUUGUAAAUCCUUGUUUUCUUUUAGUUUGUUUAAGUGGUUGCACCCCAAGCUUUAAUGAGAUAUUUUGUUCACUAAUCCUUGCUUUUAUGUGCUUAAGGUAUUUGGAAGAAGUCUAUGCAUCAAAGGAAGGCACUGGAAACCAAGAAAAGUAAGAAAAGCAGCAAAAAUGAAGAAUCAGAUUUCUGUCAAAUCAGGCUCGAGCGCCCCGAAAAUGGGGGCGCUUGAGCGCCACUGGGUCAGAAUGCCAGAAAACUGGCCAUGUGCACCAACUCCUGUGCUUGCCUGUCCGACGUGCGCCUGAGCGCCCCAGUUUUGGGGGGCUUGAGCGCCAACUUUGCUGACAUGGCAGAUUUGCCCUAUUUCACUUGGAUGCACGAAGAACUUGCCAUCUUUUGCUACCCAGACGCCUUUCCUCUGAUUGGGAGCUCUUGGAGCGAGCUAGGAGCUGUGGGAACAGUCCUUCUUCUCCCUUGGGUUCUCUUCUUUCUUCCAUUUCCACCAUUGUUGUAAGCUUGAGCUCUCCAUUCAUGGAGAGCUAGUUUCAUUAUUGUUGGGGGAUUGAUGUAACCACUAAACUCUUAUGUAAAGCAUGCUGUUUUGAAUGAAUAUAUACCUCUUUCAUUGAUUGUUAGUGUUUAAUUUCUUUUCUUAAUGCUUGUUGUGAAGUUGCUA